rnacentral:lncRNA from 1 species
AGCUGAAUGUGUUCUUUGUGCUCCCUCAUCCUGCGGCCUUCACCAGCUCGGCUGUGUCUUACACAUUUCAGGCUGUGAGACACUCGCUACGCUUCCCUCUUCCCUCGCCCGAGAGCUGCCAAGGAGGGCCUGGGAGGGCCAGCGCUGGAGCAGCUGGAGUGUGGCACCCUGCCAAGCAAAGGCAGCAGCCAGAUAAUCACCAGUUCUCCACCCGGACCCACUACAGAAACAUUAAAAUGCUAUCUAGAUCUCAUUGUGAGCCACGGGAAGGCAUGUUUCCAUUGGCAACCAAGUUCCUCAACAUCACUGCACACUGGAGAGGAAAGAAACAGGACCGAUGAAAACACAAAGGUAAGAUUUGUUCUAGAUGAUUUAUUCCGUGUAAUUUCUUCCAAGAGCUCCCUACCCCCAAAACACACACACCCUUUUUCC